rnacentral:rRNA from 1 species
AGAGUUUGAUCCUGGCUCAGAUUGAACGCUGGCGGCAGGCCUAACACAUGCAAGUCGAGCGGUAGAGAGAAGCUUGCUUCUCUUGAGAGCGGCGGACGGGUGAGUAAAGCCUAGGAAUCUGCCUGGUAGUGGGGGAUAACGUUCGGAAACGGACGCUAAUACCGCAUACGUCCUACGGGAGAAAGCAGGGGACCUUCGGGCCUUGCGCUAUCAGAUGAGCCUAGGUCGGAUUAGCUAGUAGGGUGAGGUAAUGGCUCACCAAGGCGACGAUCCGUAACUGGUCUGAGAGGAUGAUCAGUCACACUGGAACUGAGACACGGUCCAGACUCCUACGGGAGGCAGCAGUGGGGAAUAUUGGACAAUGGGCGAAAGCCUGAUCCAGCCAUGCCGCGUGUGUGAAGAAGGUCUUCGGAUUGUAAAGCACUUUAAGUUGGGAGGAAGNGCAUUAACCUAAUACGUUAGUGUUUUGACGUUACCGACAGAAUAAGCACCGGCUAACUCUGUGCCAGCAGCCGCGGUAAUACAGAGGGUGCAAGCGUUAAUCGGAAUUACUGGGCGUAAAGCGCGCGUAGGUGGUUUGUUUAAGUUGGNAUGUGAAAUCCCCGGGCUCAACCUGGGAACUGCAUUCAAAACUGACUGACUAGAGUAUGGUAGAGGGNGGUGGAANUUUCCUGUGUACCGGUGAAAAUG